AACAUGACUCUCGGCAAUGGAUAUCUCGGCUCUCGCAUCGAUGAAGAGCGCAGCGAAAUGCGAUACGUGGUGCGAAUUGCAGAAUCCCGCGAACCAUCGAGUCU
rnacentral:rRNA from 9 species